rfam:Alligator mississippiensis ScZkoYb_19, whole genome shotgun sequence.
AAGACUGUGCUUUCAGGGAUCUUUUCUGUAGUUGGUGACUAGAGGAAUGUGUCUAUGAGUGAUUGGUCUUGAUAAUCACAGUGAUGAGUUAUAGUAUUUUCUCCUGAGUAUGAAGUGAGUAAGUAGUACUGUUUGUGUACAGUGGCUGCUGGCUCUUGAUGAUUGUUCUUCUUCCUUUGGGAAGCUAGAGGGUGAAGGUGCAGACAGAGUGGU